rfam:Streptomyces sp. TSRI0281 scaffold3, whole genome shotgun sequence.
CCCGUUCUUUGCUACGGUGGGGGGACCCCGACGAGACGCGCCGUACCGGGCUGGCAAAGACGACGCACC